UACGUAGGGUGUAAGCGUUGUCCGGAAUUAUUGGGCGUAAAGAGCUCGUAGGCGGUCUGUCACGUCGGCUGUGAAAACCCGGGGCUCAACCCCGGGCCUGCAGUCGAUACGGGCAGACUAGAGUGCGGUAGGGGAGACUGGAAUUCCUGGUGUAGCGGUGAAAUGCGCAGAUAUCAGGAGGAACACCGGUGGCGAAGGCGGGUCUCUGGGCCGUAACUGACGCUGAGGAGCGAAAGCGUGGGGAGCGAACAGG
rnacentral:rRNA from 1 species